UACAGAGGUCCCAAGCGUUGUUCGGAUUCACUGGGCGUAAAGGGUGCGUAGGUGGUCAGGUAAGUCUGAUGUGAAAGCUCUGGGCUCAACCCAGAAAUGGCAUUGGAUACUAUCUGGCUAGAGGAAUGGAGGGGGGACUGGAAUUCUUGGUGUAGCAGUGAAAUGCGUAGAUAUCAAGAGGAACACCAGUGGCGAAGGCGAGUCCCUGGACAACACCUGACACUGAGGCACGAAAGCUAGGGGAGCAAACAGG
rnacentral:rRNA from 1 species